GCUGUGAUGGCCGAGUGGCUAAGGUGUUGGACUCAAAAUCCAAGAGGGUUUCCCUGCGCAGGUUCAAAUCCUGCGCAGGUUCAAAUCCUGCUCACGGCA